AAAGAAAGAAGAAAAAAAAAAAAAUCCUAGAAACGUAAUAAUUGAUAAAGGAGCAAAACAUGAAAUAAAACUCUAUACAGGAAAAAAGAAAAAAGCAUUUGUUCAAUGAAAUGAAUCAAAUGGAUAGGACUUAAUCUCCCUCAUUUCUGACAAGGAAAAUUAUUGGUGGGUGGGGGGAGGAGCGUGCAAAAGAAACAACGAAACUAGCAAUUUCAUAGUGAAAAUCUCUCUUAUUCUUAGCAACAACGCGGAAUAUCUUGCCUACAAUCACUCUGCCACUCAAGUGAAGCAACAACAUACAUCCCUUUCCUUAACCAGCACAAAGGAUCUAACUCCAGCACAAACACAGAGUCCCUAAAACCAGCCCGGGCAGAGCCAGGAAAUACUUUGCUUAGAAAUCUGAGCAGGGAAUUCCCUGGUGGUCCAGUGGUUAGGACUAGUGCUUUUCACUGCCAAGGGUUAGCUGUGUGAUCUGCAGGAAGUCACUUUUCUUUUCCAGGUCUCCAUGACCUCAAUCAUAGAGUCAAGGGUUUAAACUAAAUCAAGUUGCGGUUUGGGUUCUAGAACAUCGUGAACUGGGAGAAAAGAAAACUUCCAAGCAGAACUUCGACAGAAAGGCUCACGGAUACGUUUAAAACAGAACGAAGGGGUUCUCUGGCGAGAACGCACACUUGUCAGCGGCCGCCAGCCCUGGCUGGAACAUGGCACGGACUGACUUCCAUCCAGGUCCUGGGGACUCGGAGAGCAAGCAGUGACAUGGACUGUGAAUUGAAUAAGACAAGAAGCAUCAAGUUCCAGCUAUGUAGCAGUAGAAGAACAAUAUCUCUGCUUGAAGCUGAAUGGGGGAGAGGAGACCUUGGGAAUGUUCAAUAGGUAAGAGAUGAACCAGAGCUGUUUCAUUUUAAGAGACGUCCAUCAUAACCUCUAGGUAACUUCUCUCUCAAAUUCUCUCUAAAAUAACUGGUACUCUUGAUAAAAACACACUGCCAACAUCUGAUAUUUCCUGUUAAACAUGUUCCAGAGUCUGAGAGGAAUAUUUCCUGCCUGCCACAUUACUGUAAUUGGGCAGAAAGUGCAAAUUAAUAAUCCAUCCAUGCUGUGUCCAGUUAGAAAAAGGUCACUAAUCCCUUACUGCCUAGCUGACUGAGAAAUCAAGGGACCAGACCAACAUCUGGUCCAGAAAUCAGGGCUUCCCAGACACUGGUGUGCCCCUCGAUCAGGUGGACAAUUUGUUCAAAUGUCCACUCUCAGGCUUCACUCCCCACCCCUACCCUGAGGCUCUGACCUAGCAGAUCUGCUGGGGUUCAAGAAGAUGCAUAUUCAGUCAUAACUNNNNNNNNNNNNNNNNNNNNNNGUAUUUCAGCUAUAAAGCUGGACAGCAGUUCUUUCCGUUGCUCUUUUGCUACCAAGGCUGUCCCACCUCUUUAUCCUCAUCAACACUUUGUAGAACAAUUUGUAAGCGCUCUCCCUUCAUCUGCAAGCAACUAGAAUAAAAACUAAAAUAAAUAGAAUAAAAGCUGAGCAAGGAAUUAGAGAAAAGAAGGAAAAAGAGAACAGAGCAUGGCCCUUUUACAUGAUAAAAUGUGUUUAGACUGGGACAUUGGCAGGAAAAGAGAGGCGGGGGAAGCGAUGAUUAAAGUAAGAGAGAUACACUAGCAGAAACUCGCCCAGCACAGGGAAUUCCCUGGUGGUCCAAUGGUUAGGACUCAGUGGUUUCACUGCCAGGGCCCAGGUCGGGAUCCCCAAACCAAGUGUGACCAAGCAAACAAACAAAACAAAACCAAAAACAGAAACUCUCCCACACAAAACACCGAAUAGUGCUGGAUAAAAUAUUUUAAAGUUUCACUUAACAUGAAUUUGCAAGCUUAUGUCAAAGUAGGAGAAGUUCUCUAAAAUUUUGGAUAUCAGCAAGAACAAGAAGGAGAACUAGAAGAAUUCUGGGCUGGAAGAAGAGCCUGAGAGGGUAAGGACUUGGCAAAGGUGCUAGAUGCUCUGGGGAUAUUUACUACCCCUGGUGCACAUAGCUAUAGGGGCGUCAACAGGGCAGGAAGUAGAUUGAAGACUUCAUCGUAAAGCCAGGACUGGCAAAGGGCUACACAGUUAGCGAAAUGGGGGACUAUGAAAAAAAUUGCAAAGGGAGAAAAGAAACCACAGCUGUCUUCUUAGAUUCUAGGUACAACUAUUUUUUUUCCCUUUAAAAAUGGUGACUUCUACUUGAAACUCAGAUGGGUUUAAGACAUGAUACAGUAUUUUCUUCCAGCCCAGCAUUUCUCAUGAUGUACUCUGCAUAGACAUUAAAUA
rnacentral:lncRNA from 1 species